UACGGAGGGUGCAAGCGUUAAUCGGAAUUACUGGGCGUAAAGGGCGCGUAGGCGGCGUGUCAAGUCAGGCGUGAAAGCCCCGGGCUCAACCUGGGAACCGCGCUUGAGACUGGCAUGCUCGAGUUCGGGAGAGGAUGGUGGAAUUCCCAGUGUAGAGGUGAAAUUCGUAGAUAUUGGGAAGAACACCGAUGGCGAAGGCAAUCCCCUGGGCCUGCACUGACGCUCAUGCACGAAAGCGUGGGGAGCAAACAGG
rnacentral:rRNA from 1 species